UACGUAGGGGGCAAGCGUUGUCCGGAUUUAUUGGGCGUAAAGAGCGUGUAGGCGGUCUGGUAGGUCCGUUGUGAAAACUCGAGGCUCAACCUCGAGACGCCGAUGGAAACCAUCAGACUAGAGUCCGGAAGAGGAGAGUGGAAUUCCUGGUGUAGCGGUGAAAUGCGCAGAUAUCAGGAAGAACACCCGUGGCUAAGGCGGCUCUCUAGUACGGUACUGACGCUGAGACGCGAAAGCCAGGGGAGCAAACGGG
rnacentral:rRNA from 1 species